rnacentral:rRNA from 1 species
GGGCGUAGAGGGCUCGCAGGCGGUUUCUUAAGUCUGAUGUGAAAGCCCCCGGCUCAACCGGGGAGGGUCAUUGGAAACUGGGAAACUUGAGUGCAGAAGAGGAGAGUGGAAUUCCACGUGUAGCGGUGAAAUGCGUAGAGAUGUGGAGGAACACCAGUGGCGAAGGCGACUCUCUGGUCUGUAACUGACGCUGAGGAGCGAAAGCGUGGGGAGCGAACAGGAUUAGAUACCCUGGUAGUCCACGCCGUAAACGAUGAGUGCUAAGUGUUAGGGGGUUUCCGCCCCUUAGUGCUGCAGCUAACGCAUUAAGCACUCCGCCUGGGGAGUACGGUCGCAAGACUGAAACUCAAAGGAAUUGACGGGGGCCCGCACAAGCGGUGGAGCAUGUGGUUUAAUUCGAAGCAACGCGAAGAACCUUACCAGGUCUUGACAUCCUCUGACAACCCUAGAGAUAGGGCUUUCCCUUCGGGGACAGAGUGACAGGUGGUGCAUGGUUGUCGUCAGCUCGUGUCGUGAGAUGUUGGGUUAAGUCCCGCAACGAGCGCAACCCUUGAUCUUAGUUGCCAGCAUUCAGUUGGGCACUCUAAGGUGACUGCCGGUGACAAACCGGAGGAAGGUGGGGAUGACGUCAAAUCAU